GGGGGCGACACGGUUUCGACGGGGGUACCAAAGCGGUUGUGGCGUGCCGUCGGUGAUUGGGACGACGUAAAGACCUCGAUCAAACACGAAGUGCCAACGAUAACGCACUCGCUCUCGCGGCCUAACUAAGCCAAAGGAGCCGUCGACCCGCGGAGUCUGUCAGUACUCUUCGGCGAGGCGUCAUUGAACUGACUAGCUGUCUAUUUGCGAUUCGGUAGAACGGCGAAACUCUAGAAUCGAUAGCGGUGUGGCGAGCCUGUCUGUGGGCGCAACGCAUCGCAAAACUAAAUCACAGAACACGCACGUAGAAGCAAUCGUAGAGGACUUUCGGACGCGGGUUCGACUCCCGCCGCCUCCACAA
rnacentral:tmRNA from 1 species